GAGAGACAGCACAGACAAGUGUAUUAGUACUGUUGUAGUAUUGUAAGGUCACAUUAGUGAUGCUGAAUGCUAUAUGGUUAAUACUGCUAUAAUGUUUGUGUGAUAAGGAAUAUCAGCAAUCAGUGGUUAUAUUAGCACUCUAAUCUUGGCAAACAAUUGAAUUAACAUCGUGUGUGAAGGUAAUGAGACAAGAACUUUAUGCAGUGAUUGAUUGCUCAGUGCCUGUAAUGCAACUCAGGGAAAACUGCACGGGUUUUUUUUUUCUGAUUCUAUGAAAGAUUUCAGCUGUAAUCAAUGGGAAUUUCUGCCCUCAAGAACCGAGCGAUGUAGCACUCUUUUGUUACGUUGUGAUUACAUUAAUUAUUAAACUUUCCAAGAAAUGAAUAAUCUGUUAACCAAAUACAAACUAUAAGCAUGGCAUGAAUUCACUAUUCUGUCUGUUUCAUUCAAAGCAGGUGUAAAGCUCUUGCCAUUUCAGUGGGAUAGCAGUUUGUACUCUGCUUCAUCCCUGUGCUGGUACACACUGCAGUGUGUAGUCUGAGUUGUUACAGGUAUGGUUGAGUUCCAGAAAUAAGGCUGGAGCAGGAGAGGAUCAUGCACAAGGAUGUUUUGCACAAGGAGAUUCUCAUUGUGGAUGAACCUGCAUUUUUUACCAGGUUUUGCCUUGACUUCGCAAGAGUGAUCAAGAUCUGUUGAUCUCAGUGAGGAGUGCUAGUGCCAGGUUGCCUUACUUCUGUUUCUAAUGGGUCUAGUGUAAAUCAUUGCAAUCAUGGCACAUGGAAGGUAUAACAAUUUCAUUCUUAUUUUCCUUCCUAUUUUUAAUAACCUUUGCCCUAUUCUUCCUCAGCUUGCUUCAUCAGAUUGGUUGUAGUCAUGAAGCUUCUGGCUGUGUUUUCCCACAGACUUGUAUUCUAGUUUGGUUUUUAAAGGUAGAAAGAAAGACAUUCAACCACUUCCCUUUCUCUUUAACGGGGAAGUGUUCUCUUUUCCGAGCAGAAAGGUUUGUGGUCCUUUCAGGAAACAUUCAGACAGAGUUCACAAGACUUGCUUGUGGGACCUUUUUUAGCAGCUGGAUCUCCUUUUUGUCGGCUACUUCCCAUGUGUUGCUGUCUGUGGUCUCCCAUUAAUAAAGCAGUUUUAAAUUCACUGGUAACAAACUGGUCAAGUCAUUAAAUUGCAG
rnacentral:lncRNA from 1 species